AAAUAACAAUACGGGGCUUAAUGUCUUGUAAUUGGAAUGAUGGGAAUUUAAACCUCUUCCAGAGUAUCAAUUGGAGGGCAAGUCUGGUGCCAGCAGCCGCGGUAAUUCCAGCUCCAAUAGCGUAUAUUAAAAUUGUUGCAGUUAAAAAGCUCGUAGUUGAAUUUCUGCUGCAUUUCAUUUCUCUUUCUGAGUUUGUUUUUGCGGCUUAUUUCGGUUUGAUUUUUUCUUUCCGGAUGAUUACUUUGAGAAAAUUAGAGUGCUCAAAGCAGGCUUUUGCCUUGAAUAGUUUAGCAUGGAAUAAUAAAGUAGGACUUUGGUUCUAUUUUGUUGGUUUUAGGUACCAAAGUAAUGGUUAAUAGGAACAGUUGGGGGCAUUCGUAUUUAACUGUCAGAGGGAAAUUCUUA
rnacentral:rRNA from 1 species